UACGUAGGGGGCAAGCGUUGUCCGGAAUUAUUGGGCGUAAAGAGCGUGUAGGCGGUCCGAUAAGUCGGCUGUGAAAGUCCAGGGCUCAACCCUGGAAAGCCGGCCGAUACUGUCGGACUAGAGUCCGGAAGAGGCAAGUGGAAUUCCCGGUGUAGCGGUGAAAUGCGCAGAUAUCAGGAAGAACACCCGUGGCUAAGGCGGCUCUCUAGUACGGUACUGACGCUGAGACGCGAAAGCGUGGGAGCGAACAGG
rnacentral:rRNA from 1 species